rnacentral:rRNA from 1 species
UACGUAGGGUGCAAGCGUUAAUCGGAAUUACUGGGCGUAAAGCGUGCGCAGGCGGUUGUGCAAGACAGAUGUGAAAUCCCCGGGCUUAACCUGGGAACUGCGUUUGAAACUACAAGGCUAGAGUGUGGCAGAGGGGGGUGGAAUUCCACGUGUAGCAGUGAAAUGCGUAGAGAUGUGGAGGAACACCGAUGGCGAAGGCAGCCCCCUGGGUUAACACUGACGCUGAGGCACGAAAGCGUGGGGAUCAAACAGG